rfam:Stegodyphus mimosarum contig43334, whole genome shotgun sequence.
GCCUUCGUGGUGUAGUGGUCAGCACGCUCGACGCGUAAUCGAGAGGUCCGUGGUUCGAUUCCCGGCGAAGAUG